GAUGAACGCUGGCGGCGUGCCUAAUACAUGCAAGUCGAGCGAACAGACGAGGAGCUUGCUCCUCUGACGUUAGCGGCGGACGGGUGAGUAACACUUGGAUAACCUACCUAUAAGACUGGGAUAACUUCGGGAAACCGUAGCUAAUACCGGAUAAUAUAUUGAACCGCAUGGUUCAAUAGUGAAAGACGGUUUUGCUGUUUCUUAUAGAUGUAUCCGCGCCGCAUUAGCUAGUUGGUAAGGUAACGGCUUACCAAGGCAACGAUGCGUAGCCGACCUGAGAGGGUGAUCGGCCACACUAGAACUGAGACACGGUCCAGACUCCUACGGAAGGCAGCAGUAGGGAAUCUUCCGCAAUGGGCGAAAGACUGACGGAGCAAAGCCGCGUGAGUGAUGAAGGUCUUCGGAUCGUAAAACUCUGUUAUUAGGGAAGAACAAAUGUGUAAGUAACUAUGCACGUCUUGACGGUACCUAAACAGAAAGCCACGGAUAACUACGUG
rnacentral:rRNA from 1 species